CCCGGGGGAGGCGGGGGCGCCCCGGGCUCGGCGCCGAGGGGUCGCGCUCCCCUCUCCUGACGCCUCUGACUCCCGGUCUCUGAAGCCUGAAGAGGAGGUUUGAUUCAGCAACUGUUUCCUCUUUUCCGGGUCGCUCUGACCCUCUCUGGAUACUGGGUUGAUCCACGGAAAAAAACGAAGACGACGUUUGGGAUUUAAUUUUUCCUCUCAGUUUUUGGAAUCUUUUACUUCUCACUUGGACAAGAACUCACGAGCAAAAUCCCCGUGUUGCAACCUGGUUCCUAAGGAGGAAGAGGAAGGCAGCCCUGGAGUGGUUUCUUUACAGUAAUUUCAACAGAGGAGUGAGAGAUGGAACCCGAAGAAGAAAGGAUUCGUUACAGCCAGAGAUUGGUUCUUGGGGGUUUUCUCUAUCUGUGAGUACUUGGUAAAAACUUAAACCAUAAAAAAAGGCAGCAGAUAGUGACCAAGCGAGUGGUUUUGGCAAAUACAGUGGUGAAGGCCUCCUUCAGGUAGGUAGAGAGGAGGAGGGAAGAGGGUGGCCUUGCAGGAGGUAAAGACAGCCUAAGCUUUACU